rnacentral:rRNA from 1 species
UCGAGCGGCAGCGCGGGGGCAACCCUGGCGGCGAGCGGCGGACGGGUGAGUAAUACAUCGGAACGUAUCCUUUCGUGGGGGAUAACCAGUCGAAAGACUGGCUAAUACCGCAUGAGAUCGAAAGAUGAAAGCGGGGGAUCGCAAGACCUCGCGCGAUUGGAGCGGCCGAUGUCGGAUUAGCUAGUUGGCGGGGUAAAAGCCCACCAAGGCGACGAUCCGUAGCUGGUUUGAGAGAACGACCAGCCACACUGGGACUGAGACACGGCCCAGACUCCUACGGGAGGCAGCAGUGGGGAAUUUUGGACAAUGGGCGCAAGCCUGAUCCAGCCAUGCCGCGUGUGUGAAGAAGGCCUUCGGGUUGUAAAGCACUUUCGGCCGGAACGAAAUCGCGCGGGCUAUUACCCCGCGUGGAUGACGGUACCGGAAGAAGAAGCACCGGCUAACUACGUGCCAGCAGCCGCGGUAAUACGUAGGGUGCGAGCGUUAAUCGGAAUUACUGGGCGUAAAGGGUGCGCAGGCGGUCCCGCAAGUCAGGCGUGAAAUCCCCGGGCUUAACCUGGGAAUGGCACUUGAAACUACGGGACUGGAGUAUGGCAGAGGGAGGUGGAAUUCCACGUGUAGCGGUGAAAUGCGUAGAGAUGUGGAGGAACACCGAUGGCGAAGGCAGCCUCCUGGGCCAAUACUGACGCUCAUGCACGAA